rnacentral:rRNA from 1 species
AAACGACUCUCGGCAACGGAUAUCCCGGCUCUCUAUCGAUGAAGAACGUAGCGAAAUGCGAUACUUGGUGUGAAUUGCAGAAUCCCGUGAACCAUCGAGUCUUUGAACGCAAGUUGCGCCCGAAGCCAUUAGGCCGAGGGCACGUCUGCCUGGGUGUCACGCA